AGGAUAAUAGUUUAUAUAAAACAUUUAAUUUGCAAUUAAAAAAUAUUAACUAAUUUAAUUUUUCUU
rnacentral:tRNA from 1 species